GCACCUUCAAAACCUUGCUACUCUCUUCUCCUUGAACUAAGCUUCUAACUGUCCAUCUUUCUUGGGAUGUGAGCCUUUGGUGCUAUGAGCUCCCAGGUGAGAACCUUCCUAGUCUGAAGCCACCCUGCUGGAGAAACCACCUGUAGAGGCCACUUACACAGAGAUACCACUUAGAGAGGCCACUUAGGGAGAGGCUUCCAAGCUGUUCCAGUUCCCAUGUGGUCCAGGGUUCCCAGCUCAGCGCUGGUCAUGGGAGUGAGCCAGCCUUCAGAUGAUUCCAGCUUCCGAUGUCUCUCUGCAACUGCAUUAGAUACCCUGAGUGAGGACCACCUGGAGGAGUCCCAUCAACCCCAGGAACUGAAAUUACGACACAGACUGGUACAGAAGGAAGAACACGUGAAGACACAGGGAGAAGACAGCCAUCUAAGAUCCAAGGACAGAGGCCUCAGAAAAAAACCCACCCCACCAACGCCUUGAACUUCUAGCCCCCAGAACUGCUAGACUUCCAGCCUCCAGAUCUGCAAGAAAAGAACCCAGCCUGUGGAACUUUGUUAUGGCAGCCUGAGGAAAAUAAUACCCAUUUGGAUGAGGAAACAGACUCUAUCUCUUUAUGUAAAAAGCUGCAGUCCCAUUGGGAACCAUGUGUUUACAAGGAGGUAGAAAACAUUGGGGCCAUUUUUUGCCGUCAAUUUGCCAUGCCUAGAGAGGCUGAUGCAGAGAGGAGCUAACUCACGUGGCAGGGAUAGGAAUGGGUUGGAAAUCAGGAAGGUUGGCUGGACUCCUAACUCUGCCUUCUCUGGGUCUCAGUUUCCUCAUCUGUGCCAUGAGAGUUCAGGACCAGGUCUUGCUGUGUUUCCUCCCAGCUCUGACAGCCUAGGAUCAAAUCCCAAGCUGAGCUCCUCCCAACCUCUCCGACAACGUCUAAUUCCACAGUGAGUCAGGAGAAGACACUCUUCUGCUUGGCCCUGGGCACAUCCUAGGACUUCAGCCCGCAGCCUCACCAAUAACUGCUCCCCGUCUAAGGACAGAGGCCACCUGCUAGGGCAGGUUUACCUUAUAGUGCCUGGCAAAGAGAGAACAGCUCUGCACAAAAGCUCUGCUUAAAAGAAAAGGCAGCAAUUGUAUCCUUUGUGUAGUCUCACGGACGACCCCUCGAGAGGGCAAGUUAAUGAGCAUGGAUUUGGGGGAGCUUUGCCUGAGGCCUGUAGAGAAUUUGGCUGACAGUAAAGAUAAGAAGGGAAAACAUAGAUGGGUAAAAAUUAAUGAAAUCCCAGCAAAAAAAAAAAAAGAAAAAAUCUAUUAAAGCAGGGGGAAGCUGCUGUGAAGGGGGGCUACCUGGUAAAUCUGGAAGCAUAUUAACCAGGUGACCUGAAUUGGCCAGGCCGCAGGCUGUGAGGACUCCCUCAACCAACAUGGCGGGACCCAUGAUCCUGUGACACUAUGGAUGCAGGAGACAAAGGAGCCACAACUUCUGAAAAGAGGAAUGAAUCGAUGUCACAGCUACCUGGAAAUAAAUAAAUAAUACAUCCUCCCAUAAUAAUAAUAAUAAUGGGAGGAUUUAUUUAUGUAUAAUUAUUUAUUUAAUAAAUAAAUUGGGGAUUUAUUGAAUAAUCAUUAGGAUUUAUUUAUACAUUUAUAAAAUUAUUAUAUAUAUAUGACAUUUUUAUAAUUAUGUAAUUUAUAUAACUGUUUCUAAUAUUUAUAUAAUUACAUUUUUAUAAUUAUUUAUAUCUAUAUAAUUUAAAUAAUUAUUUAAAUAGCUAUUUAUAUUUAUAGAUGUUAAAUAAUGAUAUUUAUAUAAUUUUUUGGAUUUAUUAAUUUAUUGUUAUUAUUAUUUGAGCUUUUAACAUUUGCCAGACACUGAUCUACCUAUUUUAAGUUUGUCAACUCCCUGAAUCCUCACAAAAGUCUUAUGAGUUAGAUACUGAACUACCAUUAGCACUAUUUUUACAGGCAAGGCAAGAGAAGCACAGGAAGAUUGUGUCUCAAGCCAAUAAGUAAGAGAACCGGACUUCAGCACGGGCAGGCUGUGUCAAAAGCCCAGGACUUUAGCUGCUUUUGCCAUGCGGAAUCUCCAUAUUUUCUGGAGCCUGUUAGGUGAAUGAAGGAAAAAGGACUCAUUUUACAAAUGGGAAUACUGAGGCCCAGAAGGGGGCUUCCGUGAAUUGCAUUUGCAAGUGUUUGCAAUCCACUUACUGUGCUAUAUUCUAUUCCAUUAGAGUGCCUCAUCCUCUCUGUACACCUGGUGAACUCCUACUAAUCUCUAAAAUUCCACUCAGAUGUCACCCGAGAACCUUCCAUGCUCACCUCAGGAAAACCAGGUUCUUCCUUCUUUGGCUUCCAGAAAACCCAGCAUGUAUCCUUAAUAGAAUGUUUUUUAUAUACAAUAUUUUCUGUUUUAUUUCCAGAAUUUUUUAAAAAAGAUAACUACAUAAUGAUCACAAAUAUUCAUGUUCCCAAGCACUAGAAUUUAUGUUUGUUAACAUUUUGCUAUAUAGACUACAAGUCCUUGUCUAAACUAAAAAACUAAAAUGUAACAAAUGAAAUUAAGAUAUGCUUUUUUUUGAGACGGAGUCUCAUUUUGUCGCUCAGGUUGAGUGCAGUGGCCGGAUCUCAGCUCACUGCAAGCUCCGCAUUCCUGGGUUCCUGGCCAUUCUCCCGCCUCAGCCUCCCGAGUAGCUGGGACUAUAUUUCAAAUCACACCAAGCUAAUUUUUUUUUUUUUUUUUUUUUGUAUUUUUAGUAGAGACGGGGUUUCACCGUGGUCUCGAUCUCCUGACCUUGUGAUCCGCCCGCCUCGGCCUCCCAAAGUGCUGGGAUUACAGGCGUGAGCCACCGCGCCCGGCCUAAGAUAUGCUUUUUUUAACAGAACAAGAAAUAAAACAUUGCAGAUGAAGUUGAAGUAUCGUAUCUGCAGUUCACUUCUCCCUGCCACUGUCAGGAAUUUGUUGAGCAUUCUUCUGAUACAUUUUAAAAUUCAUAUGUAUCUAUUUAGAAAUGUGUGUUUGUGUGUGUGUGUAUACAUGUGUAAGGCAAGGACUGCAUUUUAUUCAUCUAUCUGGAACUCAAAUGUAGCAAAACACCUGGCACUUAGGUAAUAACGAUGAUGAAGAUGAUGAUGAUGAUUGAUAUGUUUUGGAUAUUUGUUUCCACUCAAAUCUCAUGUUACAAUGUAAUCCCCAGUGUUGGAAGUGAGGCCUAGUGGGAGGUGUUUGGAUCAUGGGAGUGGAUGUCUCAUGAACGGCUUGGGCCAUCUCCUAGGUGAUAAAUGAGCUCUUGCUCUGAGAUCUGGUGGUUGUCACACCUCCUCCUCUUGCUCCUGUUUUCACCAUGUGACGUGCCUGCUCCCACUUUGCUGUCUGCCAUGAUUGUAAGCUUCCUGAGGUCUCCCCAGAAGCUGGGCAGAUGCCCGCACUAUGCUUCCUGUAAAUCCUGCAGAACCUUGAGUCGAUUAAACCUCUUUUCUUUAUACAUUACCCAGUCUCAGGUAUUUCUUCAUAGCAAUGCAAGAAUGACCUAAUACAAUGAUGAUGGCUAAUAUUUUCUAAACCUUUAUCAUGUUCCAGAUCCAGUUCAAAGCUAUUGUGU
rnacentral:lncRNA from 1 species